rnacentral:rRNA from 1 species
UACGUAGGGUGCAAGCGUUGUCCGGAAUUAUUGGGCGUAAAGAGCUCGUAGGCGGUCUGUUGCGUCGGCUGUGAAAACCCGGGGCUCAACCCCGGGCCUGCAGCCGAUACGGGCGGGCUGGGAUUCGGUAGGGGAGACUGGAAUUCCUGGUGUAGCGGUGAAAUGCGCAGAUAUCAGGAGGAACACCGGUGGCGAAGGCGGGUCUCUGGGCCGAUAUCGACGCUGAGGAGCGAAAGCGUGGGGAGCGAACAGG